AGCUGGCCGAAGGUAGUGAGUUAUCUCAGUUGAUAGUUCACUUUCAGUUACAGAUCAAGCUCCUUUUUCUACUCUUUCUCGCCUUCUCGCUACUGCAUUUGACUAGUCUUAC
ensembl:misc_RNA Y_RNA Y RNA